UAUGAGAACCCAGCUGUCUACUAUUCAGCCAGAUAUUUAAAAGUUUUGCAAAAUUGUGAAACAGUGUAACCCCUCUUGCUAAUUCUGCUCAGAAAAUAUGGUUAUUUUAUUAAAAUAGUGUUUUAUGUUAACAUGCUUUUAGAUUCUUUUUAAAGAAUUAAUAAAUAUUUUUAAAUUUAAAUUUUAAUAUCAAAUAUGGUAAACAUUGAUGCUGGGACAGAUUGAAAGCAGAAGGAGAAGAGGGCAACAGAGGAUGAGAUGGUUGGAAGGCAUCACCAAUACAAUGGACAUGAACUUGGGCAAACUCCAGGAGAUGGUGAGGGACAGGGAAGUCUGGUGUGCUUCAGUUCAUGGGGUCAAGAAGAGCUGGACACGACUUGGUGAUUGAACAAUAACAACAAAUGGUAAACAAAUCCAUAGAAACAAAUGCUCUUUGCGGGGUGGUGGUGGUGGGGGUCCUUUAUAAUUUUCAAGAGUAUAAAGGGUGCUUAAGACCCAAAAGUAUGAGAGCUACUGCUCUCUGCCCAUAGUGUUAUGCAUUAAUUCUGACAUGCUAAUUUUUCCAGUAAAAAAUUUUCUCCUCCCUUGAAUAUAUUCUCUUGAUGAAAGCUCUUUAGUUCCUCUUCACUUUCUGCCAUAAGGGUGGUGUCAUCUGCAUAUCUGAGGUGAUUGAUAUUUCUCCCAGCAAUCCUGAUUCCAGCUUGUGCUUCCUCCAGCCCAGCGUUUCUCAUGAUGUACUCUGCAUAGAAGUUAAAUAGGCAGGGUGACAGUAUAAUUUAUAUUGUCAUAGUUUAUGCCCAUUCAAUUAUGGAAUUAGUGAGUGUUCACCCGGCUCACCAUCCUGUAGUCUUCUGCUCUUUCAACAAGUACUUCUCUGAGCAGCCGUUGUCUCGGGGCUGUUCUGUUGCUUUGUUGUGUAGUGACUCAGCCGUGUCUGACUCUUUGCGACCCCUGGGCUGUAACCCACCAGGCUCCUCUGUCCAUAGGCGUCUCCAGGCAGGACUGCUGGAGUGAGUGGCCAGUCCCUUCUCCAGAGGACCUUCCCCCCAGCCCAGGGAUCAAACCCACAUCCCCUGCAUCAGCAGGCAGACCCUUCACCACUGAGCCGCCAGGGAAGGGUACGGCUCCUCUAGUGUACAUUUUCAGCACGUACAGAAAUGCGCUCCUUGGAAACUUACGCAUGAGGUCAUCAUUUUAGCUGAAAGAGUAUGCCUUCUUUGUUAGCAUACGUUUUGUAAAAUGAAUCAUGAUCCCCUUAAUGUAACUUUUGUGAAGAAGUAAAAUUCCGCUUAUUUAGACACAUCGCCAACACUUAGGGGAAAUGCAAAAACUAAAGAAUGAUAUAACUGAUUUUCCAGGGACAAAAAUUAAAGAUCAUUUUUGAAGUUGAAAGAAAUGUUUCAGAAUUUAGUAUCUUCAUGGGCUAACUUGCAAUAUGCUCAGUACUCUGUACAUAUGCAGAUGUGUUUUUAUGAAAAUUCAUGCUGAUGUUUAUGAACUUAAAGCUCCUAUAAGAGUUAACGGUAGUUUUCAUGCCCAUUUGUGCCUAAAGCCAAAUAAAGUGUAAAUUAUUUGAAAACCUUAAAGUGAGUCUUAAAUUUCUUAAAGCCAUUUAGGAAUUCAGUAACUUUUUUGAAUGAUGAUGAUGACAAAGAAAAAAUGCUAAGAUGGCUAAAAUAAGACUGAUGGAACAUAGGUUUUUUGGAAUAGACCACUUAAAGUAUCUUUUAAAAGGAAUUAUUAAGUAGACCAAACUGGGUGGAAUAUUAUGCAGUCUUAAAAAUGACUGUCAUAAAGGGGCAAAUAACAUGGAAAAAUACAUGUGAUAAGUGGAAAAAGAAGACUAAUUCUAUGUGUAUGUGUACACUUUAUGUGUAAGGAAAGUGACAAAGGAAAUACAUUAAACUGGCAUUUCCCUGGUGUAGCAGAAAAACAUCUCCUGAUCAUAGUAGUGCUGGUCUGCCUGCAAGAACAUAAUAUUAAUACAAUCCUCAGUGGUCCUUGCCGCUUGCCAAGACUUUAAACAUUUGCAAGAGGUCAGAGUUUAAGAUUCUUGACCUUCUCUUGCUCUUGUCUGCAACUGAAGGAUAAAGAAGAGAGCUGGUGAGACAAAAUCAUUAUACCUUGUAUUUGUACCUUUUAUUUGCACUGCUGGGUGAAAAUAAAUUUUGAGGGAAAAAAAAGAUGUGUGUCCAAAAAUAAAUUUGUAGGAUUUUCAUAUUAUGUGUGUACACAACUUAUUUGGGGCCUGAAACCAGUUUAUUAUGUGGUCAUUUAAAAUAAGUAAUAUCCAGAUAUACAUAUGUAUGGGGCUUCUCAGGUAGUUCAGUGGUAAAGACUCCGCCUGUCCAUGCAGGAGAAGCAGUUUGAAUCCCUGGGUCGGAAAGAUCCCCUGGAAAAGGAAAUGGCAGCCCUCUCCAGUGUUCUUGCCUGGAGAAUCCCAUGGUGGUCUACAGUCCAUGGGAUCACAAAAAGUCAGACAGAACUGAGCGCGCGCGUGCGUGUGUGUGUGUGUGUGUGUGUGUGUGUGUGUGUGUAUGUAUGUACGUGUGCACGUGUGUGUGCGCUUAGGCACUUCAGUCGUGUCCAACUCUUUGUGACCCCGUGGACUGUACCCUGCGGACUGUAGCCCGCCAGGCUCCCCUGUCCAUGGGAUUCUCCAGGCAAAGAUACCAGACUGGAUUGCCAUUUCCUCUUCCAGGGGGUCUUCCUGACCCAGGGAUCGAACUCACGUCUCCUGUGUCUCCUGCAUUGGCAGGCGGGUUCUUUACCACUAGCGCCACCUGAGAAGCACUGAAAGUGAAGUGAAAUGAAAGUCUCCCAGUCUCCUACUUUCUAGGAAACUAGAGACAGAGAAGGCAAUGGCACCCCACUCCAGUACUCUUGCCUGGAGAAUCCCAUGGACGGAGGAGCCUGGUGGGCUGCAGUCCAUGGGGUCGCUAAGAGUCAGACACGGCUGAGCGACUUCCCUUUCACUUUUCACUUGCAUGCACUGGAGAAGGAAAUGGCAACCCACUCCAGUGUUCUUGCCUGGAGAAUCCCAGGGACGGGUGAGCCUGGUGGGCUGCCGUCUGUGGGGUCGCACAGAGUCGGACAGGACUAAGGCGACUUAGCAGCAGCAGCAGAAACUAGUAACUAGUUGCUACCCUUCCUACUCUUUGCGACUCCAUGGACUAUAGGGUCCAUGGAAAUCUCCAGGCCAGAACACUGGAGUGGGCAGCCUUUCCCUCCUCCAGGGGAUCUUCCCAACCCAGGGAUCGAACCCAGGUGUCCCGCAUUUCAGGCAGAAUCUUUACCAGCUGAGCCACCAGGGAAGCCCUCGGAAGCCAUAUAUUAUAUAUAUAAACACUUGUGUCAGCAAAACAAUCUGUUUCCUUUUGAAUUCUCUUUCCGUUUCUCUGACUUCUCAUGCACUCCUUCAGCCUUCAGUCAGUUUUGCUUUUUGAACUGUAUACCUGUAAUUUCCAGUUUUCACCAAUCUUUGUCCCGUCUCUUUUCUUGAAAUGUUACCAGCGAGCAGUAGAAAAAAGAAAAGUGUGUGUGGUUGGCAGGCUGUGGUGGUGUGAGGUGAAUAGAAGGCAGGGAGAAAAGACUGCUGAAGGGGGAAAUAAGAUUUACUACAGAAGGAGAAUGAAUGCUUCACUUGUCAGCUUUUAACACAAUUACCAUACCUUAGGAAAUAUGCAAGGAAUCGUUAAUUAUGACUAAAUGAGGCUCUUUUAGAGGCUGUGGCAGGCCCAGGGAGCUGACUGUCAGAGCCGUGAAAGAUGUUGGAUCGAAAGGGUGGACUCCGUGUCAGGCAGUGGAUGGUCCGCCGGGGAGCCAGACAGAGAAAACAUAGCUGUUGAGAGUAGCCUGCGAUUGGGGACCCGGGGCUGGCAUUUGCAUACUUUUCCUGCAAAGGGAGUUUAGUCCAAAGAAAGAAAGAGAUUUCAGUAUUGUCAGGCAGGCUUUGUUCGGGGUGAAGAGCGGAAGGAGAUCUGCUGAAGGGGCCUUUCUCAAAGGCUUGGUCUCAGCCUUGAGGUUGUUCUCAUAAAGUUACGUUCUCGAGGGUUGUUUGCACGCUAUUGUAUGUCUAAAGAUCUUCAAAACCCAAAGGGCUCGGAGCAUCCCCCUUCGCCAGCACAAAGGAUGGGAAUCUGUGUGGUAAGAAUGACUCGCGUUGCAAAAUGGACCCAAGCACCCUUUGUUCUUGCACAGAAUACUCUGAAGUUCUGAGGAUGUCUUUCCGAGCCACACUGAGCGAGUCACACCAUAAAAGUGUUUGCAGACUAGCAGACGAGGUGAAACCAACCCAGACUUGUGUCUUUUUUUUUUGCAAACUCAUUGAAGGCUUUAAUGCAAUCACCAGAAAAAAUGGCUCCAAAAAAAUGUGGCAGAUAAAAAGCUUUUUAUUGCCAUGCAUCAUUCUGCUUUGUUUCCUUAUAAAAUGUUCUGAAGUUCAAGUAUUUGAAAUUAAGACAAGUUAUUUAGACAACUAAGUAGAAGGAAUUUUCUCACCACCCAGUCAACCUUAUGUUUUAUCUGGUGAGAAACGGAGAAUUUCCUCCCAUGGAAUAGUUCCUGCCAUGUCAGUAGACAAAAGAUGUCACAGUCAUCAGCAAUUGCAGAUGCCGCAAAAGGUAAGCUGGUGAUCCUGAGGGAACUCAGGGAGGAGAGAAUCAGACUGCGGACUGCAGCCAUUCCCUCCAGUUAGCUGGUGAGCUACAUGGAAGCUCAGGAUGUGAAAAAAAAACAAAACAAAACAGAAUACUGGCCCCGGAUAGGUGAGGUGCACAUCAAAAGAAGGAUUUCAGUGAGCCCAGAUUCCUGCAUCUUCCUAUCCGUAGAAAAGCCCUAAAUUCCUUAACUUAGGAUAUCUGGUUUUCUUUAAUUAACAAUAUUCUUUUGAUGUUUAGACUACCUGCACUGCAAAACUUCUAUAUAAAUUGAUUCCUCUCCCUACCUCCUCCUUGGAGCAAUUUCUCAGAGUUACUUGAGAUGCUGUCUCCUGGGCUUAAAGUCCUGAAAAAUCCCACCGAAUAAAAUAUAACCCUCAGCUUUUAGGUUGUGGUUAUUUUUCAAGUCAACACUGGCAGCAUGAGUUUAUGACUAUGGUCUGUUUCCAGUUUUCAAAAGAUGCCUUCUUUCCUGACCCAAGAAGAUCUGGAUAGUGUGCAAUGGUCUAUUCUUCACUGUAAGUUUUUCUAAUAGUCUGCUGCUGCUGCUAAGUCGCCUCAGUCGUGUCCGACUCUGUGCAACCCCAUAGACGGCAGCCCAUCAGGCUUCCCCGUCCCUGGGAUUCUCCAAGCAAGAACACUGGAGUGGGCUGCCAUUUCCUUCUCCAGUGUGUGAAAGUGAAGUCGCUCAGUUGUGUCCGACUUUUGGCAGCCCCAUGGACUGCAGCCCACCAGGCUCCUCUGUCCAUGGGAUUUUCCAGGCAAGAGUACUGGAGUGGGGUGCCAUUGCCUUCUCCAUUCUAACAGUCUACACAUCUGUAUUGAGGAGUGUGUAUCUGUAGUACCUGCUUACAUGUUAAAUCAUCACAGUAUUUUUUGGAUCAGACACCAGGACUCAUUUCAGCUUCACUAGUUGGUCUGUAUUUGUAAACACCCAUAAUCCUUAUAGUUAAGGGAAAGUAUGUACUUAAAAUACAAAAUGGGAGUUUUAAAAAAUAGCAAUUUAUUUGUUUAUAAGGAUAAUGUGGGCAGUUGUGAGUGCCUUUCAAUUUUACGAUCUUCUACAUGGAGCUUAAAGCUUCAAAAAAUGUGUUAUCUUACCACCUUAUAUAUAUAAGUUAAAAUAUAUAAACAAAUGGAUAAGGAAAUGGCACCCCACUCCAGUGUUCUCGCCUGGAGAAUCUCAGGGAUGGGGGAGCCUGAUGGGCUGCCGUCUAUGGGGUCACACAGAGUCGGACACGACUGAAGCGACUUAGCAUACAAGCUAAACCUGGUGGCUCAGCUGGUAAAGAAUCCGCCUGCAAUGCAGGAGACCCUGGUUCGAUUCCUGGGUCAGGAAGAUCCCCUGGAGAAGGGAUAGGCUACCCACUACAGUAUUCUUGGGCUUCCCUGGUGGCUCAGCUGGUAAAGAAUCCGCCUGCAAUGCAGGAGACUUGGGUUCAAUCCCUGAGCUGGGAAGAUCCCGUGGAGAAGGGAACAACUACCUGCUCCAGUAUUCUGGCCUGGAGGAUCCCAUGGACUAUACAGUGUUGCAAAGAGUCAGACACAACUGAGUGACUUUCAUUUUCACUUUCACACAUUGCUUAUGGUUGAUCAAGCAGGAUAUACAGUAAAAGUUGACAUUGGAGAUUAGGGGAAAAUAUGUGUAGUUUUAAUAGUAAAAAUACAUAACACAUAACAUGAAUUUAGCUUAAGAUUUUUUUUUUUAAUUAAGGAUAUUACUUUGGGAUUUCGUUGUUGUUGUUGUUGCUUAUCCUUUUGCUGGAUUUUUGGCUCAUUUGGAGACCUGCGUAGAAGACGCCAUGCAAAUUCAAAAUAAAAUGAGUAAUGAAAAAUCUGCUUGUCUAAGGGUCUGAAAGACCAGGAAAUGUCCAUCUGAGUUUCAAAAUAAAGGCAAAACCUGGGACUUGUAGAAAGAAAGAGAAAGCUUACUUUGAAGUGAACAUGAGCCGGCUUCUAAGAAAAAAUGUUUGCCUUCUUCUUUGGAAGAAUAAUUAGGAAAACCUUUACCAGGUCAUAUUUGGGGAUUUCCAUGGAUAUGAAAAAGACGGUGAGCAUGGUUCACAGGUGAGGUUGGAAGCGAAGACAUCGGUGAUGGCCAGAUACGGGCUUUCUGAAGUUAUUAUAAAUGAGUGAAUACAGUGGUGCUUCGCACUUUCCUACACACUUUAAUUUUUUGUUAUGAUUGUGGUGCUGGUGUCUGAUCUCAGUAAACUCUGCUUUGCUGGAAGUGGUGCUUUUCUGCCUCCUGCUUUGCAUUUCGCCCUGGGAGAAGCGUGUCUGAGUUGGGAGGACCUGAAUAUCGCUCUUUGUUGCUGAGCUUGUCAAGCACAGCACUGUGUUCUCUUUCCCACCAGGAAGGUCAGGCCACUGGGGGCCGAUCUGCUGUCUGAAAUGAACCCUACUGUCUGUCCCUGGUGUCUGACAGAUUGAGACAGUUGUCUGUGUUACAGCGCUUUCAAUGCUUUUUAAAUGCCUCAUUUUCUGAGAGAAAGGUAAUGGAUGUAGGCUCCAUUGAAAAGAUAAAAUUUUUUCUAAGGGCUGGAUUUUGGGUGUUAAUAUUUAUCUAAAAGGAAAAUUUAAUUAACUUUCUAAGAACAUAUUUACAGAUUCAGGAAGGUAAGUGUGUGUACUGUAUGGGCACGCACGCACACACACACACAUACUCGUACCAAGAUAAGCCUUCACUUAUGAGUUCUACUUCUAAAGACUUAUAUUGUGGGGGAUUUUUUAAUUGGAGUAAUAAAAUUGUGAAGUAUGGAACUGUUUCAAUAGUAGAAUUGUCAAAGUAAGGGCCUUUUGUUCACUGAGAUUUCAGUUCCAUGUGUUUUGAUCCGAGGUAUGUAUAAAGCCUGAAGAAAUUUGUACUGUGCUGAGCCUCAAUUCAAUACUCUCCAGAUAAUUGAGCUAAUUAAAUCUUUACCAACAUUAACACAACUCCGGCAUUCCUUGGACAGUGGAUAAUUAUUGUAUGAACAUGGCGAGCUUAAACUAAACAGAUGAAAAUAGAGUUCUGUGGAAUGGGUAUUGAGUUUAUUCUUUAGUCAUCUUUUGAUAAGGUUUAAUUAAAACUGCCUCUCUCCAUUGCGGUGAGAAUGAAUGUGCUUGUUUUCUUAGUGAAAAGCAAAUUAUUCACUUCAGCCAUGGUUCAAUAAUCAAAGCCUUUGCAAAGUUUUGGGUUAUAGUGUAGCUAUGGGGAUAUAAUUGCUGCAAUUCUGUAUGAAGGCUUUAUCUUUUAUUACUUUCUCUUAUUUAUUUUUGUAAAAAGAAACUUAUAAAAGCCCAUUUGGGGAUUUGGUGUGGAAGUACAUAUGUUUGGAGUCUUAUUGUAGGUUGGCAUGGCUAGAUUUUUCAUUUUAAGGUGUAUUUCUUACAACCUCUUGUUUGAAUGAAACAUAGAAAGGGACACAUCUUUAAAUAGUUGGUAUUUGAGACUGAUCUUUCAAGUUAGUGAAGAAAUUCAAUGAUACCUUGAAAUCCUGUGGCUGCCGCUAGACGGACGUAGUGCUAAGGGUGGAAAAGUAAUCGACAUUGGGAGCUCUUUCUGCAAACGUGUGUAUUUGCAUUCUCUUUCACUUUCUUUAAAUUCAACAAAAAUAUUUUCUAUAUUCUUCUUUUAAAGGGUUUUUUGUUUUUAUGUUGGUGAUACUUUUGUAGCAUAAACAGAUUUUAUGUAUACUAAUGACAGCUUAUUUUCAGACUUGCUGUCAUGAAGACUUGCUAGACUUCUUUCUUUCUUUCGAUGGGAGAAGUAGCUUUAUUUAGAGAGAUGCAUGCUCCACAGACAGAAUGUGGGCCAUCUCAGAAGGCAAGAGGCUGUCCUAGGUUUCUUCUUGUCCAUUCUUUCUUCUUCUUUCUAGUAGAAUGGGAGAGUACAAGGAUACAGGAUGUUUGUGGAACCAAGGACAGAAAGCAAGCUGUGCCUUGCGCAUAAACCGGAAGUCCACAAAAGGAGUCAAGUACAGACACACUCUUUCUCCUUCUGCAUCUUUCCGUUGUCUCGAUUCCGGCUUUGCCUGCUUCUCUGGCCAUGCAGUGGAAACGAAGCCGACUUGUCCCAAGGUUUGUCAUAAGAAAAGUUAAAAAGACAUCUCUCUUGGCCAGCAUUCCAAUUCCCCGCAAAGGAAAUCUGCCCUCCUUAGAUCAAGUGAAUCAGCCUGAAAUCCAAGUUUUAGUGCCUCCACUUACCACUUCUUUUUUUUAAACGUUAUUUAUUAAUUUAUUGUUUGGCUGUGCCAGAUCUUCAUUGCUGUCUGUGAGCGGUCUCUAGUUGUGGGGUGAGGGCUUCUUGUUUGGGGGCACAGGCUGCAGGCACACAGGCUCAGUAGUUGUGGCACACAGGCUUGGUUGCCCUGAGGCGUGUGGGAUCUUAGUUCCUUGGCCAGGGGUUGAACCAGGGUCCCCUGCAUUGCAAGGCAGAUUCUUAACUACAGGACCAUCAUAGAAGCUCACUUGCCACAUCUUUUCUUCAUCAGUUUCUUGGAGAGGAAGGACAUGCAAAUAUGAGCUAAAAGUUUCUUCUUUAGAAUUAUUUUGAGGGUGAAGUCAUUAAAUGCCAUGGUUUUCAACUUACUCUCAGGGGCAAUAUCAGUCUCACGGACUGGAAAUAGUGUUUCUUAAAUGGAAUAGUCUAGACGAGAAAGGAAAAUGUUAAAGAUGAUCAAGUGUAUUAGGAAUAAAGAUUAUUUCAUCCAAGUUUUGUCUUAGUGACGUGUGUGUGUGUGUGUGUGUGUGUGUCUGUGUGGAUGUAAGUGCUCCUAUACUGAGUCACUUAGUCAAAUGUGUUUUGACAGUGAGUUGUGCCCAAAACGAGUUUGCAAGCCAGUGACUGCUCCUCAGAUCCCCUUCAAGGUUUUUUUGGGGGAGGCAAGGGAGGGAGGCGCCCACUGGGAAGGAGUCCAAGCCCCUCGCUCUCCCCAUCAGAGCAGGUCCUCUUUAAUCUGCUUUGUACUUUAUGUUUCCACCUAAAAUAUCUUCUAAACAAAGGAUGUAGUGACCAGAAGUUUGCAUAAGUGAUUUCCCAGGUCCCUUCUUGGGAUUUUUAGAGCUAAGUACGGUAAUGACCAGGAGCGGAUCAGGAAUUAUUUUGGUGUUCUACGUGAAGGAUGGCUUGAGAAGCCAUCCAGCCCUCAUUUGCUUGAGGUAUUUUUUUUCCCUGUCUUUCUAACUCUGAAAUGCAGUUUCCCUACUUAAUCCUAUAGAAAACUGUGAGACUUAGCAUAUAACCAAGACAACACUAAAUCUGAGUAGACUUGAAGCAGCCUUAUUAUUUUUAAAAAAGGAAAAACAGCGAGUCCUCCUCCCGGCCCUUCCCCUGUCCAGUUCUUUAGGGAGGGAUGAAAAGCAGAAGUGAGCAGUGGUGACAUGAGAGAGAAAGAGGUUGCAGCUCCAUCACGUGCUACUCAGAGAAGUGAGCAUCCGGGGGAAAGACAGCUUCUUUAAUGCAAAUAAAUAGUGUGAAAGUGGAAGUCGCUAAGUCAUGUCCAAGUCUUUGUGACCCCAGGGACUGUCCAUGCAAUUCUCUAGGCCAGAAUACUGGAGUAGAAGGGCUAGGCCACGCACUCCAGUAUUCUUCCUUUGUGGGUCCCUUCCAGUGGGAAGCCUUCCAGUGGGCUUCCCUGGUGGCUCAGCUGGUAAAGAAUCCGCCAGCAAUGCAGGAGACCUGGGUUCAAUCCCUGGGCUGGGAAGAUCCCCUGGAGAAGGGAAAGAAGAGAAAGGAAAUAGUAAGAAAACAAGACUAACCAAGAAAACAAGCUAAAGGGCAUCUUAUAGAACCUCCUUUGGGAAGUUGCAGUAGGUUUAGCUGACCCUUGUUUCUGCCCUUGACAUUGUGGAGAGGCAGACUGUCCUAAGAGCUUUGCUCUCAUGCUGAGCUCUUUUGUUUAAUUUUAGGUCCUGUUUUGCCUAUUUGCAUACACACCCAAGAGUGGGACCUUACUUGGUGAACAUUGGUUAGUCAUUCAUUGCAUUCACACCUGUCCUGUUAGCAGUGGACUUCACUUGGUCCAAGCAGCUCUCUUUAACUCACAGAAGCUGUGUAGGCUAGGGAUGAAGAUCUCUGACUUGGGUCAGCCACCUCGGCUUUGAGACUACACUGCACUACUUAACAGUUCCGUGACCCAGGCUAAGUCUUAACCUUCUCAAGCCUCCAAAUUUUUCCAUCUGUAAAUCAGAACUACAACUAGUGUCUGUCUUAUCAGCUUGUUGUACAAAUUAAAUGGGAUGAUAAUGUAUUUAGCAUAGUGGCUUGCUUGGUUCAUAACAGGCACUCAGUAACUGUUAUGAAUCCCAAAUUUCAUGAAGUGUGUGAUACGAAAGACAUAUUAACUUGAAUUCUUGUGUGAUAAUCAUUUUUCAUUUAUCUUUCCAUUUGCUGCUGUUGUUUAGUCUUAAAAUCAUGUCAGACUCUUUUGCAAUCCCAUGGACUGUGGCCAUCCAGGCUCUUCUGUCCUUGGGAUUUUCCAGGCAAGAAUACUGGAGUGGGUUGCCAUGUCCUCCUCGAGGGGAUCUUGGGCAUCUCCUGCACUGGCAGGCAGGUUCUUUACCACUAUCGCCACUUGGGAAGUCCAAAAAUGCAUUGCUGCUGCUGCUGCUGCUAAGUCGCCUCAGUCACGUCCAACUCUGUGCAACCCCAUAGACAGCAGCUCACCAGGCUCCCCCGUCCCUAGGAUUCUCCAGGCAAAAACACUGGAGUGGGUUGCCAUUUCCUUCUCCAAUGCACCAAAGUGAAAAGUGAAAGUGAAGUCACUCAGUCGUGUCUGACUCUUCACGACCCCAUGGACCGCAGCCUACCAGGCUCCUCCGUCCAUGGGAUUUUCCAGGAGAGAGUACUGGAGUAGGGUGCCAUUGCCUUCUCCGCCAAAAAUGCAUUAGGUACAUAGAAUUCAACUGCAGCUUUCGUCUCUGACUAGUUUUCAUAGAUUCAGUCAGCUUUCCCAUAUUUUUGUCAAUACAAGGGAGAGGUGACACAGGUAAUCCAGAAGUCAUUUAGAGGAUGCGUUGUUUGAACUGCAGCUGUCCUUUCAGAGUAAUUUUCAGCAUGGUCUAAUAGAAAAAUGAGUUUGUCCUUCUUAAAAUGGUACCCAUUUUGGAGAGGGAAUUCCCGAAUGUCUCGAUACCUAGAGCAAGGCCAUAAAAGGGAUAAUUCACUGACAGAUAUUAGAGGGUUUUUAAAAAUGUAUGUUGAAAGCAAGCCAAGGGAAGGAUCAAAGAUGAGGAAAGAACAGGAAGAGGAUCGAAAGGAAAGAACAUAAGCUAUGUCUAGCUUUUCAUUUCUACUCUCAGACUUUUAGGUUAUGUUCUUAGAGUUAGAUAGGGGUUGCGGACUAGGGGGCAGGGAAAAAGAGAAAGGAAUUCCCUGGUGGUCCCGUGGUUAGGACACUAUGCUUCCCCUGCAGGGAAUCUGGGAUUGAUCCGUGGUCUGGGAGCAAAGAUUCCAGAAGCCGAGCAACCCUGCAGACAAGCUUUUCUACAUGGAAAUUUGAACAUUGAGAUAGUGUUACAGUCUUGUCAUUCACACUCUUUUUAUCCUUAACUAGUUGCUGAAACUUGCCUGGGGAAAGCCAUAGGUUUUUGCUGCGCAGAUAGAGAGCAAGCCCUGCAGGGACUUCCCUGCGGUCAGUUAUGAAGACUUCACCUUCCGAUGCAGGAGGUGUGGGUUCGAUCCCUGGUCUGGGAGCUCAGAUCCCACAUGCCUCGAGGCCAAAACACUAAAACAGUAAAAGCAGAAGCAAUGCUGUAACAAAUUCAAUGAAGACUUUAAAAAGGGUCUGCAUCAAAAUCUUAAAAAAAAAAAAAAAAAAGAUGUCAAGUGCUCUUAAAAGCAAAAAGGA
ensembl:lncRNA